rnacentral:lncRNA from 1 species
CACCCUUUCAAGAGGCUUAAUAGCUUUAAUUAAUUUGUUACCGUCAUUCCUUAUAAAUUUAGGUUUCAGUUCUCGGCAAUCCUUGCAAGUGGAGCUCACUUUCUAGACAUCUUCAAUGGAAGAUGGGAGAUUACAAAAUCUAACAUAGUGGAACAUUCGUGUAAUCCCAGGAUGGCAUAAUUUCUUAUGAAUACUCUGCAGUUUAUCAGAUGAGUUAUCAAAAAUUAUUCAACACAGUCUUGACAAUUGAUCUGGAACCACAUUUUUCUCUCCAGGUCUUUAUUUGAUGUCAAAAGAAAAACACGACAAUUCCAAUCUCAAUCUAGAAAUUUUCUCAUUCUUGAUCUUCUAGAAUGUUUUUGGUUAAACACGAAACUCAAAGCUUUUGAUCUGUAAGAAGCAAGAAUUGUUUUCCUAUCAGAAAAUACCUCCAAGUUCGUAAAUCUUCUACAAUUGCGUAAGCUUCCUUUUCUACUGUAGAAUGAUGUCUCUCAGACUUAUUCAACGAUCUCGAAAAGAAAGCAACCGAUUUUCCACAUUGAAUCAAGAAGUCCCCAAUCGCACUCUCCGAAGCAUCUGUCUCUACUGUUAAUCUUUCCAUUGGAUCAAUAACCAUGAUGACUGCAUUUCCAAUGUCCUUCUUCAUUUUUGCAAAAGCCUCUUUCGAUUCUGCAUUCCAAUCGUAAUCUUGAGGGUGUACCAUAGACUGUAACUUCUUUGAGAAAGAGGAUAUCCAUCGAGAAUAAUGAAAAAACAUUCCCAAGAUACGUUGUAACUCUUUCUUAUUCCUAGGUUCUGGAAUUCUCAUAAGUGACUCCAGUCUAUCUGGAUCCAGGUUCAUCAUACUAUUUUCUAUUUGACACGCCAAAAGCUUAAUUUUUGUGGUUGAAUAUUCGCAUUUACUCUCAUUUAUUGUCAACGCAUGCUUAUUUACGGCUUUUAUGAAAGAGUUGAAAUUCUUAUCAUAAUCAUUUUGAUCUUUCCCACAGAUAGUAACGUCAUCUAUAUAUACAUAAGUCUUAACCAGGUUCUUUUCGGCUAUAAUGAAAUCUAUCACACGUUGAAAACUAGAGACUCCACUAGUGACUCCAAUUAGUAUACGACGAAAUUGAUAUAAUCGACCACAGGCUUCAAAAGCAGUAUAUUCUCUUUCACUCUCUUCAAUCGCGACCUGAUGACAAGCACUUUUAAGAUCCACCUUUGUGAAAAUUUUGUUGACGGCCACUUAACGCAGUACCUCUUCAAUUUGUGGAAGAGGAUAGACAUCUAACAAGUAAUCAGCACUUGGGCCCUCCAUGAUGACGUACUGGGCUCGAUAAUUUCCUCGUCCAUUAAUAUCUUCACUUCUAGAUGAAUAAACUCUUUAUCCUCUUCUGAACGUUUUCGUGACUUUGUUAUGAUAGGUUUAACAUCUGGAAGAAGGUUUCGAAAUAAUGUAGGCGAAGGAAUACCCUUGAUACACAUCAAAUUACUAACUGAAAAAGGUUCCCUCUUUCCUCCCAAAGUCAUGUGCAAUCCUGAAUGAAGGCCUAAAAAAUCCAAUCCCAAGAUCACAUAAGUACAUAAUUCUGAAAGAUCAAACAACUUGACAUGCUCAUAGAACUCUGUAUUAUGUGCAACCUGCACAUGAACCAGACACAAGGAUGUGGACGCCACAACGUAUAAAUUCAGUUCAGCCUCUUGUGUCCCAUGGUUGAAAAUUUGAAUACCAGAUUUGCACAUACGAGCAAAAUGUCCUAGUUUAUUGCACUUCCUAAAAGUGUCAUUCCUAGCUGGGCAGCUGGACCUGACAUGCCUUCCAUUUCUACAGAAGAAACAACGAUCCUUUACAGUUAUAAUGGUAUCACUGUUUGUCGACGUCUUCCUUUCAUCUCUUGCGACGUUAGGCACGCGUACAGAAUCAUAGAUGAUUUUAGCACUCCCAAGAUUAUUUGUCUCAUUUGGGAAGAUUGAAGACCACAAAUGAACGCAUCUCGUAUAUAUUCAUUUGUAUUAUCAAACAAACUUAAAGCUCGAAAUUGACAAUCCUUCACUAAUAUCUUCAAGGGUUUCAGAAAUUGAUCCAACGACUCGUCUUCCUUCUGUUUACGUGAAGCAAGCAAAUGUCUAGCGAAUAUUUCAUUAUUUUUCUUCAUAUAUAUCUGUCCAUCAUUCUAAGUGCCUCGUCAUAGCUUUCAGCUGCUUCAAUAAAUUCAUAAUUCGUCGGAUUCA